rnacentral:rRNA from 1 species
AACGAACGCUGGCGGCAUGCCUAACACAUGCACGUCCAACGAGGCCUUCGGGUAUACUGCCGCGCGGGUGCGUAACGCGUGGGAACCUGCCCUUAGGUUCGCAAGCUCUCCUCGGAAGGGGUGCUAAUACCGGAUAAUGUCCUCGGACCAAAGAUCUAUCGCCUUUGGAUGGGCCCGAGGUGGAUUAGCCUGUUGGUAGGGUAAAAGCCUACCAAGGCGACGAUCCAUAGCUGGUCGGAGAGGAUGAUUAGGCAGGCCGGAAAUGAGCCAAAGCCCAGACUCAUACGGGAGGGAGCAGUGGGGAAUAGUGGAACAGGGGCGAAAGGCUGAGCGAGUAACGCAGCGUGAAGGUUGAGGGCCUUAGGGGUGUAAAGCGCUUUUACACGUGAUGAUAAUGACCGUACCGGGCGAAUAAGCUAAGGCUAACGCCGUG